UUAUAAAGUCCGCGCAGCCCGCGGGACUCAGACUCGUCCGGGAUCUCAGAUGGGGGCGAUGGCACCGCGCACGCUGCUCCUGCUGCUGGCGGCCGCCCUGGCCCCGACCCAGACCCGCGCAGGCUCACACUCGCUGCGGUAUUUCGAAACCAUCGCGUCCGGGCCUGGCCUCCGGGAGCCCCGGUACAUCUCUGUUGGCUACGUGGACGACACGGAGUUCGUGCGCUAUGACAGCGACGCGGAGAAUCCGAGGAUGGAGCCGCGGGCGCGGUGGAUGGAGCGGGAGGGGCCGGAGUAUUGGGAGGAGGAGACACAGAGAGCCAAGGGAAGGAGCAGACUUUACCGAGUGGACCUGAGGACCUGCGCGGCUACUACAACCAGAGCGAGGGCGGCUCUCACACCAUCCAGAGGAUGUAUGGCUGUGACGUGGGGUCGGACGGGAGCCUCCUCCGCGGGUAUGUGCAGUUCGCCUACGAUGGCCGCGAUUACAUCGCCCUGAACGAAGACCUGAAAACGUGGGCGGCGGCAGACUUUGCGGCACGGAUCUCCCGGAACAAGUUCGAGCGGGCUGGUUAUUCAGAUUAUUACAAGGCCUACCUGGAGGGCGAGUGCGUGGAGUGGCUCCGCAGAUACCUGGAGCUCGGGAACGAGACGCUGCUGCGCUCAGAUCCCCCAAAGGCACAUGUGAUCCUUUACCCCAGACCUGAAGGUGAUGUCACCCUGAGGUGCUGGGCCCUGGGUUUCUACCCUCCUGGUAUCUCCCUGACCUGGCAGUUGAAUGGGGAGGACCUGACCCAGGACAUGGAGCUUGUGGAGACCAGGCCUGCAGGGGAUGGAACCUUCCAGAAGUGGGCAUCUGUGGUGGUGCCUCUUGGGAAGGAGCAGAAUUACACAUGCCGUGUGGAGCAUGAGGGGCUGCCUGAGCCACUUUCCCAGAGAUGGGAGCCUUCUCCAUCCACCGACUCCAACAUGGGAAUUGAUGUUACUUCUGUUGUUCUUGGAGCUGUGGCUGUCUUUGUAGUUUUGGCCAUCAUUGGAGUUGUGGUGGUUCUUGUGAGGAAGAGGAGGAGAAACACAGGUGGGAAAGGAGACUACGCCCCUGCUCCAGGUUAG